UACGAAGGGUGCUAGCGUUGUUCGGAAUUACUGGGCGUAAAGGGCGCGUAGGCGGCUUGGCAAGUUGGAUGUGAAAGCCCAGGGCUCAACCCUGGAAUUGCAUUCAAGACUGCCUUGCUUGAAUUCGGUAGAGGUUGGUGGAAUUCCCAGUGUAGAGGUGAAAUUCGUAGAGAUUGGGAAGAACACCUGUGGCGAAGGCGGCCAACUGGACCGACAUUGACGCUGAGGCGCGAAAGCGUGGGGAUCAAACAGG
rnacentral:rRNA from 1 species